rnacentral:rRNA from 1 species
AGGACGAACGCUGGCGGCGUGCUUAACACAUGCAAGUCGAACGGUGACCUCGGAGCUUGCUCCGGGCGAUCAGUGGCGAACGGGUGAGUAACACGUGAGCAACCUGCCCCUGGCUCUGGGAUAACCCCGGGAAACCGGAGCUAAUACCGGAUACGAGACCGAUUGGCAUCUUUACGGUCUGGAAAGUUUUUCGGCCAGGGAUGGGCUCGCGGCCUAUCAGCUUGUUGGUGGUAACGGCCCACCAAGGCGACGACGGGUAGCCGGCCUGAGAGGGCGACGGCCACGACUGGGACUGAGACACGGCCCAGACUCCUACGGGAGCAGCAGUGGGAAUAUUGCGCAAUGGGCGAAAGCCUGACGCAGCGACGCCGCGUGAGGAUGAAGCCUUCGGUGUAACCGUCUUUCAGCAGGAAGAGCGAAAGUGACGUACCUACGAGAAGAAGACGACCGGACUAACGUACGU